rnacentral:rRNA from 1 species
UACGUAGGGGGCAAGCGUUGUCCGGAAUUAUUGGGCGUAAAGAGCGCGUAGGCGGUCCGGUAAGUCGGCUGUGAAAGUCAAGGGCUCAACCCUUGAAAGCCGGCCGAUACUGUCGGACUAGAGUCCGGAAGAGGCGAGUGGAAUUCCCGGUGUAGUGGUGAAAUGCGUAGAUAUCGGGAGGAACACCAGUGGCGAAGGCGACUUCUUGGCCUGUUCUUGACGCUGAGGCGCGAAAGCUGGGGGAGCAAACGGG